GACGUAGGGCGCGAGCGUUGUCCGGAUUUAUUGGGCGUAAAGAGCUUGUAGGCGGUCUGUCGCGUCUGCUGUGAAAAUCCGGGGCUCAACCCCGGACUUGCAGUGGGUACGGGCAGACUAGAGUGUGGUAGGGGAGACUGGAAUUCCUGGUGUAGCGGUGAAAUGCGCAGAUAUCAGGAGGAACACCGAUGGCGAAGGCAGGUCUCUGGGCCACUACUGACGCUGAGACGACGAAGCUGGGGAGCAAACAGG
rnacentral:rRNA from 1 species